rnacentral:misc_RNA from 1 species
GCAAACUUGGUCAUUUAGAGGAAGUAAAAGUCGUAACAAGGUUUCCGUAGGUGAACCUGCGGAAGGAUCAUCAUUGAAUCUAUUCAAACACCCUGUGAACUGUGUGCGAGGCGCGUUAGCAGAUUGCUCUCGCUGUCUUGCGUGUGUAUGCUUGUGUGCGGUGUGGAGCUUUCGCGGGGCCGAGUGUCCUGUGUGCCUCUGCUGCAGCAAACAACAAACUCUUUCGUAAUAUUAUUUACAAACCUGAAGCAAAUUGCUUUAUAUAAUAACACAAAACAACUUUCAACAAUGGAUCUCUUGGCUCUCGCAUCGAUGAAGAACGCAGC